UACGUAGGGCGCAAGCGUUAUCCGGAAUUAUUGGGCGUAAAGAGCUCGUAGGCGGUUUGUCGCGUCUGCCGUGAAAGUCCGGGGCUCAACUCCGGAUCUGCGGUGGGUACGGGCAGACUAGAGUGAUGUAGGGGAGACUGGAAUUCCUGGUGUAGCGGUGAAAUGCGCAGAUAUCAGGAGGAACACCGUAUGGCGAAGGCAGGUCUCUGGGCAUUAACUGACGCUGAGGAGCGAAAGCAUGGGGAGCGAACAGG
rnacentral:rRNA from 1 species